GCGGGUGUGGCGAAACUGGUAACCGCACAAAACUCAAAAUUUUGCGUCCCGAAAGGACUUGCCGGUUCGAGUCCGGCCACCCGCA
rnacentral:tRNA from 1 species